GCUGCUUGGCACAGGCCUCCUUGGUGGAGAAGGACUUGGCACAGGGAUCCUUGGUGGAGAAGGACUUGGCACAGGCCUCCUUGGUGGAGAAGGACUUGGAACUGGCCUCCUUGGUGGGGAAGGACUUGGCAAUGGUCUCCUCAACAAUGGUCUCCUCGGCAAUGGCCUCCUUGGUAAUAACAGCCUUCUUGGAGAGACAGGUCUGCUUGGCACAGGGCUGCUUGGAAAAGGUCUCCUAGGCAAUGGAAGUCUGCUUGGACUCGAUGGUCUUCUGGGUGGAGCAGGAGGACUGCUGGGUGCAGGAGGGCUGCUGGGUGGUGGAGCCUCCCAGAAGAUGACACGCUCUGCCUGGUUGAAGGUGCUGAACCUCGAGAACGCCCGAGUGUCAUGGAAGGUUAUUCGUGGGACUGAGCUUGUGCUGAACCUGUACUCGAAGCUGGUGCUCCGCUUUCCGGGGAUUUUUCAGUUUCUGAGUGGAUCCUCAGUAGAAGCAAACAUCACAUCACACAUUGCCGUGACCCAGG